ensembl:lncRNA
AAUUAUACCAGUGACAAUAAAACACAAGGCAUCAUGGAGAAAAGGCAGUGGGACCUGAAGCAUGUGCGCUUUCAAAGACAUCGGUUCACAAGGCUGGACGAUUUUGUCCAUAUUUAUCAAAAAACACAUAGUGCCUUGCUGAAGGAGUUUUCAGAUUCCAUCCACAAAAAAAAAAAAGUAUUAAUUUCUCUUGUAAAUACUAAGAUCGCCUUGAAGUAUUACAUAAUCAUGUACUCUGUACUGUCUCUAAACUUUUCUCUGUAGAGACACAAGGUGGACGUCGAGCGCUGGAGACAAAGAAGGCAGUCCAGGAAAGGCAUUUAUGUAUCACCAUUACUAAAAGCUUUCCCUUUCAAGAAAACCAAAAAAGUAGGAUGAUGUUGUUUGAUGAUGACCUCAGUAUUUUGAUACAGUCCAUACCACAGAACAGCAAUUCUUAUGAUAUGCAUAAUGCACUUUUUUUAUGCAGCCAAGACUGCUGACAAAGACAACUGGAUCAUGGGCAACAAACAAAGAAGAAAUCUGUGAGCAAAACUUGUCUUCAAAAGCUUCUACUGGGCAGCCCAAGUCCAAAAAAAAAACCCCAAAAAAACAAGAGGGUAAUGGAAAAGUAGAGUAUAAUACUUCACAGCCAUCAAACGAUUCAGUUGGAGAGCCCAAGCCCAGAAAAGAAGAAAAGGACAUUGUCACUGAGGCCGCAAGUCACAUCCUAAAUGAUGACACUGUGCGGGUAAGUAAUAAUAAUAAUAAUAAUAAUAAUUAGACAUACAAAAUAUUGUUCAUUCAAUAUUCUCUGUUUUAUAUUAUGUUAAUAAAAAAGCCAGGUAGGAGACA